CCCUCAGAUGGGAACAUCCCAAAAGUCUGCAGAAGCUCAGCCUCUGAGGUGAACGUUGUGGCCCAAACCUCUCUCUGCUCUGUACCUCACAGGAUUCCAGCCGGCUGUUCCAAUCCAGGAGGACACCUGUGCCACCGAAGUCUCCGAGCACCUGGGCAGUGAAGUGCCAUUUAAUCCCGCUGUGAUGCACAGACCUUGCCCUGGCUGUCUGCACAGGGCUGAAUUUCACCCCUUCCGAGUUUAUUCUAAGGGCCCCCCGUGCAUCAUAUGGGCAUUCUUCGGGGUGCAGAUGGCAUCAGACCUGCACCUGAAUAAAUAAUAGGGACUGAAAUAUGCAGACACUAAAGUUCUGCAGCCAAAUUCUCAGGAACCUUCCUCUUCCAUGUAGGAUCAGGAUUUUGUUUUGAAUUGUUUUAUUUUUUUAAAAAAGUGCUAAGCAGAUGCUACCCUGUAAGAAGAGGAAACAGAAGCAAAAACUGAAAGACUGUUACUAAAACCAAUGAACAGCUGCAGAGAGUGGAGACCCAGCAAAGCAGACAAAUGAAUACUGUGAAUAAAUAACCUGAAAGCAAAUGGGGAAGAAAACCUCCUCUGGGUAAUUGUGGCUCUUGGGACCAAAAUCAGGUUCCUGGGAAAGGAUCCCCAAAGGAGGUGUAAGGAUCCGGGACUCUAGUGUCUGCCAGAAGCUUCAGCCACCUUCACAGGUUAGAGCUCGCCCUCCAUUGCGGAGGUGAAGACCAGAUGGGAGCUGCUGGAUUGACCUUGAUGUGCCAUGUCCUUGUGUGGAUGAAGGACCUACAUCUCAGGGGUGGCCAGCAGCAGAUGUAACACACGUGUCCAGGAAUGGGCUAAAUAACCUACCUUGAGAGGCAAGUAAAAUCGUGGCCACAUGUAGACAUCACAGGAAUUGACCCAGGGUCCUUCAGCACAAGCCCCUCUCUCUCACUGUCAACAAAUCCAGCUCCACCCACUAGACCACACCCCAUUCCAGAGCCCCAGA